AGCGGUAAAAAGCGCGCGUCGUGUUUAACAUCAUAUCAGAGUUUCGCAAAUUUUACAUCAUGCCAAAUACAAAAUGCUCAGGCGACAUGGAGGAUUGUGUGAUGCCAGUACGUUCUGCUAAUCCGAUACGCGCUAGAAGUUUGAUCCGAGACAAUUUGGAGAAACAGGCUGGUUGUCUAAAUCUAAUACACUCCAGAAUGCCAAACAUUAAAGUGUUUUCGGGCACCUCGCAUCCGGAUUUGGCGCAGCGUAUUGUCGAUCGCCUUGGCAUCGACCUGGGCAAAGUGGUCACCAAGAAGUUUAGCAAUUUGGAAACAUGUGUCGAGAUCGGAGAAUCGGUGCGCGGCGAAGAUGUUUAUAUCGUACAGUCCGGUUCCGGGGAGAUCAAUGAUAAUUUAAUGGAGCUGCUGAUCAUGAUAAAUGCAUGCAAAAUAGCAUCAGCCUCUCGUGUUACAGCUGUGAUUCCUUGCUUUCCAUAUGCCCGCCAAGACAAAAAAGAUAAGAGCCGUGCGCCCAUCUCGGCGAAAUUGGUCGCUAAUAUGCUAUCAGUGGCCGGUGCGGAUCAUAUUAUAACCAUGGAUCUACAUGCCUCACAGAUUCAGGGUUUCUUCGAUAUACCAGUUGAUAAUCUCUAUGCCGAGCCGGCGGUACUCAAAUGGAUCAAAGAGAACAUUCCCGAAUGGAAAAAUUCGAUUAUCGUAUCGCCCGAUGCUGGCGGCGCCAAGCGUGUCACCUCGAUUGCGGAUCGCUUGAACGUGGAGUUCGCGCUGAUACACAAGGAGCGCAAGAAGGCCAACGAGGUGGCCUCCAUGGUGCUCGUUGGUGAUGUUAAGGAUAAGAUUGCCAUAUUGGUCGACGAUAUGGCCGAUACAUGCGGCACCAUUGUCCAUGCCGCCGAUCGUCUCGUCGAAGCGGGCGCACACCAAGGUGUAUGCCAUACUGACGCACGGCAUUUUUUCGGGUCCGGCGAUUUCGCGCAUUAACAAUGCCUGCUUCGAGGCGGUCGUUGUGACCAAUACCAUACCACAGGAUGGCCAUAUGCGUGAUUGCCCCAAAAUACAGUGCAUUGAUGUGUCCAUGAUGUUCGCCGAGGCAGUUAGACGGACACACAAUGGCGAGAGUGUCUCGUAUCUCUUCUCAAAUGUUCCAUAUUA
rnacentral:misc_RNA from 1 species